rnacentral:rRNA from 1 species
CCCUUAGAUGUCCGGGGCUGCACGCGCGCUACACUGAAGGAAUCAGCGUGCUAAAACCAUUGUCGAAAGGCAUUGGUAAACCCAUUAAAAUCCUACGUGAUUGGGAUCGGGAAUUGCAAUUAUUUCCCUUGAACGAGGAAUUCCCAGUAAGUGUGGGUCAUAAGCUCGCGUUGAUUACGUCCCUGCCCUUUGUACACACCGCCCGUCGCUGCCCGGGACUGAGCCGUUUCGAGAAAAGCGGGGACUGCUGCUAUCGGGGCUUUCGGGCCUUGGCUUCGGUGGAAACCGCUUUAAUCGCAGUGGCUUGAACCGGGCAAAAGUCGUAACA